GCUGAAAUAAGCAUUCGUCUGAAGUGCGCCACCGCCAUUGUCACGACGAAUUAUCUUCUGAAACGUUGUCCGGCAAUAGGAUACAGGAAUGACAUGGUCCCCUUUAGGUGUCGAGCCUGACCUACACCCUCUGUAAUUGAAACGGUAUUGGUACAAGUAAUUACAUGGAGGUAGUGUCAAUUUAGGACUUGAUUUGUCAUCUGUUGGUCGAUGUGGAAAAACAGGGAUUGGAUCAAUAAUUUUAUUUCCCCUCACCUUUGGAAUUCUUGGAUGGUAGCUGUUGUUGCAGGAUACUCCUUGUUUUGUUAGUGAGGUUUCAGAAAGCAGCAUUCCAAGAGCAAGAAUCUAAUUUACAGGCUGUUAACACAAUCUGGAAUGUUUAAUUUUGUUUUCCUGCUUUGAUGGUGAAAUUGAAUUAUAUUGGACUUUAAAAGUU